rnacentral:lncRNA from 1 species
AGGGUGGUAAAGGAUUAUUUUCAUGCAACGUUUUGGGUCUAUUUAUUUCACGUAUUUUCGUAUUUUGACGUUUUAUUUCUCGUUUUCUCGUGUUUUGCUCGAUUUGCGUGCAUCGUGUUUUCACUAAUUUAUUUUCUGUGUUUCGUGUCGGUGCUUUUAAUUUCUCGUGCAUGUUUCCGCAUUUGAUUAAAAAGUCAGUGUGUUAUAAGGCUAUGAUACCUUCCGAAACUUGUGUUAUCUAUAGAAAUUGAUAUGUAUUGUUACCAUUCUACUUUUGCAAUAUGUAUGCUAUUAAUAAAGUCCUUCAAAUUACUAUGAAUAAC